rnacentral:tRNA from 1 species
GCCUGGGUGGCUCAGUCGGUUGAGCAUCUGACUUCGGCUCAGGUCAUGAUCUCACAGUCUGUGAGUUCGAGCCCCGCGUCGGGCU